UACUUAUUAAUUCAUUGGUUGAUUCUUAUACGUGCCCUGACUGAGGAUCGAACCCCCAACCUUGGCAUAUUAGGACAACACUCUAACCAACUGAGCUAGCCAGCCAGGGCCAGACCUAACUUCUUUAUGGAGGAAUGCCUGGUUAUCUUUAAAAUGGGAGCCCCUGGGAGAGAGGAGCACAAUUACAAAAUUUAAUUAUAUGUGGAAUGUCUCUAAAGCGAUAGCCAUGGGGUUUAGUCAUGGAUGGAUAAUAGCUGUAUCAUCCAUCCAAAAGCUGUGCUUAAAAUUUGAAAAUCACCUGCAGCACUCAUGUAAUAAAUUGUCCAUAAGUAAUUUCAUUAGCAAGCAAUUAGAUGUGUUCAGGGCACUCAUGGGAAUAGGAACGUCUACCAGGUCAUUUCCAGGCCUUGUCCUCGGCUGCCAGCCUCAGUCCCUCGAAGUCACAAGCAAGGACAGAUCAUUCAAAUUCCAGUUUCUCACUUUGAUGUUGUGGUCCAGCUCAAAGUAUUCAUUUUGAUUCAACUGGAACAGUGGUUUUGAACUUGACCAGUGAGAAUUACAGAGGCCUCUCAGUGAAAAUGCUUUCUCCAGGCCCGCUGCAUCAGAACCUGCAGGCAAGGGCCCGGUAGUCUGGUUUUUAUCAUGAGGCAAAUUUGGGACAUAAUGUGUGGGUAUAGCUAAUAGUUUUUAAAAUAAAUGUAAUCAAAUUCUUGACUUUAAAGUUUAGUUGCACUGAAUAUUAAAAUUGAAGUUGCUUUAAGGAACUACAAUUGUAAACAAACCAUUGAAGGUCCAGUGUAAAUUGCAAAUGCAAAGCUGGCUCUGGUAUGGUGUCCUGUUGGUUCUAACCUGGCUUGAGUGUGAAACAAAAUGUGAAACAGGCCAGCUUUCAUGGACCCUCUUCCUCCAUAAGAAAUAAAUAAAAAUGAUAUCUUACCACUGUGCUGGUAUAAAGAUUACUGUAUUGAUAUGAUAUAUAGUAUAGCAUUUUUUUUUGAGCUGAAAGUUUAUAUGUUUUCUUCUGAUUUUAUAAGAAAUUAAAGUAUUUUCAUGAUUGUUAAAAAAAUACUGUAGGCCCUGGGCACUGAGCCAAGUGUGCCCCACACAUAAUUUGGGCAUGGCAAAGGCGGUGAAAUCCAGGCUCAGUUCUGGUGGCUGAUGUGAUAAUAUUUCUUGCCUCAGAAGUCCUGAAAGCAAUCCUCACUAUUCUUUUUCCCCCUCGAAUAUGAGAAUAUGAUCAGCCCUUUUGUUCCCGCCCUUGUGUGGGUGAGAGGGAGAAAGUUGAUCAGAAUCUGAGGCUGUGUCAGCGGGAGAAGGGCUAUUGUCACACAGGGGUGUAUGACCUUUCCCACAGUGAUCCUUUCCUGAAAACAUACCUCUGUCCCUUUAAACGGGUUUUGAAAUGCCAAAUUUAACUUAAGGGUUUUGCCCUGAAAAUAGUGAAUGCAGGUGGGUCAAUCACUUCUCAUCCUAUCCUAAAUUCCUACCUGAGGGAGACCUGGUGGUGUUGGCCACCUAACCAGCUAGACGGUUCUGCUCUUGGGUGUCAGGUUUCCUUAUCUCUCUCCCUUUCUCUCUCAAUACAACUUACAUAUUAUUUACUUGAGUGAAAGCUUUCUUAUGGUAUGUAUGAUGUUUUACAUAGUUGAUCUCUGCUUUGCUCAUGCUGACUUCAGUGAGUUGUAUUUGGUUUUCUAUUCUCAAGACAGCUCAAUUACUGCUGUUACCAUUGGUUUGUUUUCUUUCAGGGCCAAGGUGGGUACUUUAGUGUAAAAUCUUGUUUUUACUUCCUUCUCUGGCACUUUUUUUUUUAUUCUUAGUUUUGCAUAAUUAUCCCGACAAUGGAACCAGCAGCCUAGGGUUGCCAAGAUAAGGCUUCCACCCCAACAUCACAUGAUCUUCUAAUUCUACCUUUCUCUUCCCAGCACCAAGGGGACUGGGCCAGACCUUCAGCCCACCCUGCUCUUCCUUGCCAUGUUUGGGGCUUGAGCCUAAAGGCUAACAUGCUUCCUAUAGGCAGGGUCCUGCCUGGGAAGGGAAGGAAUGCGUGAGAUGGGGGCAUGCAGGCGUGCUCACUUCCAUGGCCAGAGCCAUAAACCAGCUGUUUGUCCUUUGAAGCCAAGCUAAGACAGUUCUUUAUUUUGCAUCGUUACAAAGAAAUUUUGAUUGAGAAUUCUAAAGUAACUCUGAUUAUGAAGAUUAAAUAUAUUGAUUGUAGAGAAUUGAAAAGCACCAUCAGAAUAUCCAGAAGAAGAGGAAGAAAGUCCCCCUGAUUCAUGGUCCAGAGAAGGCUGUUACCAUUUUGGCCUAAAGUUUCUCAUGUUUGUUUUGUUGUGUUUUGAUUUUUUUUUUCUUUUUGCAAAUAGGCAUUUAAUUUUAUACAAAAUCACAAUCAUGUGACAUAUACCAUUUAAUUAUUUGAUCUUUGCACUUAAUAAUACAUAAUGAGCAUUCUCACAUUAGUAAAUGCCAUCCUGCAAAAUGGAUAAUCAUUUAUUUAACCUGCCUUUUAUUUUUAGACAAUAACUUAGCUUUCUCAUUGUUGGCAAACCUUCAGUGAUUUUUUAAGGUAAAUUUUUGAAUGCAUGCAUAAUUAUUUACUUAGUGUAAAGUGGAACUGAUGUAUCAAAGGGUAGAGCAAUCUGGAGCUUUUUAAUAUAUAUUUCCAAAUAGCCCCAUGGAAAGGUUCCAGCAGUUUACAUUCCCAUCAGUACUCUGCGUGCUUGUGUCCUUGUACCCUUGCCAACACUGGGCAUUGCCAUGUGACUAAAAUUCAAACUGAAGGAAUCUGGUAUGCAUUAAUUUGAAAGAAACUGUGACUCACGUUUCUCUGCACAGAGUAUUUAAUGUUUAGCAGAUUGCUCUCUGUGUAAUAAUUAUGGCUUUCUUUACAGUGUUACGGAAACCCUUUUAUUAAAUUUUACAUUUACCACUUUUUUCAAGAAUCUUAAAUAGUUCUUAGGUUUUCAACUCUAUUUUUUAAAAGGCUGUUAAAAAUAUGGUUUGGGAGGGCUUUGUGUAUAUGUGUUUAGGAUGAUGGACUAAACAGAAUCUUGGUGAUUAGUUGGUUCACCCCUCUUACAACUUAAUUAGUGGCUCAAUAAAGAAACUUACUCACACUCCCUCCGUUUGUUGGGAUGUUCUCAGCAGCAGUUGACAGACAAGUCCACUCCAGCCAGUCUUGCAGGACGGGGGUGUAUUGUAGUCUCCUGAUACUGAAACUGGAUUCUGAUGAUACCCAGUGUGGCUGACCUUAGGUAACCCUUGAUCUUUCUAAGCCCUGCUUUUUAUCUGUAAAUAGUGUCUUGGACUCUAUGGAAGGUCCAUUCCAGUUCUUAAAGUUAAAUUUCUCUAUGAAUAUAUUAGCCAAGAAUUACAUUUUACUAGCAACCAAAUUUAGACAUGGUGAGGGGAAGGCUAGCCCUCAGAGCAAGUUCUUAAAGAAAUACAAUUUUGUUACACACCUGGACCUAACUGAAGAAAGUUGUGUUUUUUUUUUUUAAACAUGUAGAGGUCCUUAGGCAACUCCAACGUGAUUAUUAUUUACAUAGUGUAAAUAUACCUCCAAAGUGCUUUAAAAGUCUUUUUUUCUGUUGGUUACACAAUCCUCAGACAUCUUUCCCACCUACUACUUUGCCUAGCAAAUCUAUUCACAAAUAGUGGGAAAAGAAUUCCAUCCUGCCACUCCCCUAUUCACAACAUGUUAUGACAAUAAAUUCCAGCAUGGUAGAACUUGGGAGAUCUGUUCAGCUUUCUGUGAUGGCAACUUGUUGGUGAGUCACUUCUGUGCCAAACAAAUAGAGCUGAUCUUGAGCUCUUGGGGCCUAAUUUACAUACAGGAAGAAAUGUUAGUGUUAGGGAACUUAGCCUCACCAGGAACACCUUACAGCUUUGGGGCUGGUUGUCCACGAGGAGGUAGAUUUUCUAAUGUCAGGCUCCUUUAGCUUUUUAAAAUUGGCUUUUUUUUUUUUUGACUGGUAGGAAACCUUUUCUCUGGUGGUUGCUUCCCACCCCCCACCCUGCACCCUCAUAUUUGCUAUUUAGAGUUCACUUGUAACCUUGUUGUGAAAGGCCUUUGAGAAGCAGGCUUUGUUUUAAAGCCAUCAACUACCAAUAAAAUUUUUUAUUAUUUUCACCACAAUAUUUGGAAUACGGAGUCAUUUCAUGGUUUUAACUACUACCAGAUUGCCAGUCCUGGAUUGUGUUUAGAGAAAUUUUUAGACCGAAAUGAAUGCAGCAGGACCUACAUACCUUUUUAUUAGCGCUCAGCUCCCACAUGUUUAUCAGCGAUACUGGCAGUCCCUGGGUCUGGUGCUGCAGGAGAGGGGGCGUUUUAGGGAAAACAGCAGCCACAGAUUUUGAUGGAGGGGGUGUUAGGAUCACCCUGCAGCGACAAAUAACCUCCAAAUGCCAAUGACUUAAAAUAGCAAAGGUUAUUUCUCUUUCACACUACAAGUCCAUUGAGGGGUGGCUAGGGGCUCCUCUGUGGCUCAUCUUCACUCUGACCCAAAUGAUGGAGCAGUCAUUAACCUUGAAUUUUGCUAGUCACAGGAAUAGAGAACGAAUUCUGAAGAGGCUCACACGAGCUCUAGGUGCUUUUGCCUGCAAGUGACAGGCACCAUUUUCAUUCACAACUCACUGGCUAGGUGAGGCACACUUUGUAUCUCAGUUAUAAAAUGGCCAGGAGUGGCAGUCUGACCCCAUGGGCCUGAAGGAAGAGGGCCAGAAGUAUUUGGCCAGUAGCACUAGUGACUACCACAGUUUGUGUGUCUGUUUACCAGAUAUUUGGCCCGCUCUCCCACCUGCAGGGGAGACACAGCUGUCCCCUCCCCAACGGAAACAACCCCGAAGUCCUACCCAGUUACAGCAUCUGCAUGGUACACAGGAGGCUCUAAAUUAGGGGAUGAUGUAAAUUCAUUUUGAUGUCAACUCUUGAUCUAGAAAUUUCUGAAAUAAAAGAGGCAAGUUACCUGCUGUUCACCACCCCCAUCCAUUGUAUGUUAAUAUAUACUGGUGAGACAAAGAUUGGAAAACCCAAUGUACACUCUUAUUCAGAAAGGGGGUGAGUAGGAGACCAUCCACUUGGACCUUAGUCAUUCUAAUUUUGAAGAAUUUCUGAAAUCUUCAGGGCUUCCUGCCUUGUCGGUGGAGAAUAUUCCAUUGGGGUCCCGAUUCUCCUCUUGGGAGGGCCUCCCCACCGCAUGGCUGUUUUCAGCCCUUGGCUUUUCCCAGUAGCCAGUUUUAUCACGUCUUAGGUGUGUCCUCCGUGGAGGCUGAGCAGGUUUCUGUGCUGCUUCCUGACUUUACAGGGUUGGGGGUUCUCGAGUUCUUUCAGGCUUUGAACAGUUUUUCCCAGCCACUUUAGGUUGAGGCUCUUGGUUCCUUUGCCAGUACAACUCUUUUCCAAAGGAAAUACGUUUCUUAACGGUUUCACUGUAGUUUAUUUCCAUAUGCCCAGCCUCUGUUCUUGGUGUCAUACUUUACAUUCACUGUAUGCCUUUGUGCUGUGCCUCUAGCCUUUCUUAAUUGAUUUAGUCAAUGAUACUUUGAACCUGUCAGGCUUUGGUGGGGAAUCCACACCUCCAAUGUCUUUUCUCCUGAACUAUUAUAAUUGAAAGAAUUAACUAAGAAGCCACAACCUUAACUGCAUCUUUAGUUGGAGACAUAUUAACCAUGUUAAGAGUGAGUGUGAUAGUCAUUUUCUUCCUCUGAACCUCAUGCCAACACUAAGUGCUAAUUUAUCUUUUUCACUCAAAAUGCUUUCUGAGUUUUAUCAUUUAUUAAUAAAUGUUGGGGAAGAGAAGUAGGUGCUUUUUCCCAGCCCUGCAAGUCUGACUUGAUGGACUCUAUUCCCUUUCCUUUUUGUCUGUGAAGCAGUCAAUGACUUUCUGAGCCCAUCUCUCACUCUUUUCUGGGUCACGCCUUUUCAAAUUCAGCCAACAGUCACCAACACAUGCUACCAACAUUUGACCUUGAACCUUUUACACGAGAUCCCCCAGUUCUUUGGGUAUUUAUCUGCCUUCCAAGUUAUCAUACAUGAUGGUUUUACCAAAUGCUUUGCCAGCCUCCAAAAUUUGUUACCUCCUUGGCGCCUGGCCUCUAAGCCAGUGUCGCAUUUUUCGUUGCUGUUGAGGCAGCACUCCAUGUCAAGCAGCCAUGAGAAUGGGCUGGGUUCUGUUGUAGCAACAGACAACUGCCAAAUCUCAGUGGUUAAAGAACAAAGGCUUAUUUUGUGCUCAUGCUGUAUUUAUUGAGGAUUGGUUGCGUCUUCACUCUAGGACCUAGGCUGACAGGUCAGCCACUAUCUGGAAUGCUUCCCAUCGCUAUGGGGAAGUUCUAGCAGGGGUGCCCAACCUUUUGGUGUCUCUGGGUCACACUGGAAGAAGAGUUGUCUUGGGCCACAUGUUAAAUACAUUGUGACAUGUAAUCACAAAAAAGACCCUCAAUAUUUUAAGUAAAUUUAUGAGUUUGUGUAGGGCCCCAUUCAUAGGUGUCCCGAGCCGCAUGUGGCCCAUGGGCCACAGGUUGGACACCACUGCUAGAGGGUCUCAUGCCUGCAACUUAAUGCCCUGGUCUGGAAGCGAUGACCUACUCGUCAGUUCUCACCGUUUAAGCAGAUGCUCUUCAGCAUUGUUCUUGAGCCUUAUUCAUGUUGAGACCUGUAACUGUAGUUUAGGAUUCAACUACUUAUCUACAGCACCUGCUUUUAUGAAUGUCAGCUUCUGGUUUAGACACACCUCAUUAUGGAAGAAACCAUUUUGAAUGAGUAGAUCAGCUUACUUGUUUGCAUCUUCUCAUGCAGUUUGAACCUCGCCUCCUUCCGAACAUCCUUGAUGAAUAUUCUAGAAAUUUUAAAUCAUGACAUCUGGUGUAAUGUGGAGGAGUAGAGGAUGAAUGCAGACACUCUGUGUCUAGAACCACCAUCACUUCUGGCAAACAUGGAACAGACUCUUAAUCAGUGGUUCAGCUGAAUUUAU